rnacentral:misc_RNA from 1 species
GGGCGCUCGAGAACAACAUAGAAAUCCAUCCCAUAGAUACCAGUAGAUGGGUCAUACUUGAUGCCAAGAUCAAUGUGCUCCUGGAUACCGAAUCCGAAGCAACCGGUGUCACUGAAGUUCCUUCUCAAAAGCUCAUAUUCCUUCACCUUCAGCCCGCUCUCAAGCAACUGCAUAGCCUUGUCUCCUCUGACGGUCACAUAACAAGCAAUCUUUUCAUUUCUCCUGAUCCCGAAAGAUCUAACGGUAUACCUAGCCUUAGAGAAUACAGGGGCCUGGCCGCUGAGUUGCUCAAGC